rnacentral:rRNA from 1 species
AUUGAACGCUGGCGGCAGGCUUAACACAUGCAAGUCGAGCGGUAACAGGGGGAGCUUGCUCCCUGCUGACGAGCGGCGGACGGGUGAGUAAUGCAUAGGAAUCUGCCCGGUAGUUGGGGAUAGCCCGGGGAAACCCGGAUUAAUACCGAAUACGCCCUACGGGGGAAAGCAGGGGAUCUUCGGACCUUGCGCUAUCGGAUGAGCCUAUGUCGGAUUAGCUGGUUGGUGGGGUAACGGCCUACCAAGGCGACGAUCCGUAGCUGGUCUGAGAGGAUGAUCAGCCACAUCGGGACUGAGACACGGCCCGAACUCCUACGGGAGGCAGCAGUGGGGAAUAUUGGACAAUGGGGGCAACCCUGAUCCAGCCAUGCCGCGUGUGUGAAGAAGGCUUUCGGGUUGUAAAGCACUUUCAGUGAGGAGGAAAACCUGAUGGCUAAUACCCAUGAGGCUUGACGUUACUCACAGAAGAAGCACCGGCUAACUCCGUGCCAGCAGCCGCGGUAAUACGGAGGGUGCGAGCGUUAAUCGGAAUUACUGGGCGUAAAGCGCGCGUAGGUGGUUUGAUAAGCGAGAUGUGAAAGCCCCGGGCUUAACCUGGGAACGGCAUUUCGAACUGUCAGGCUAGAGUGUGGUAGAGGGUAGUGGAAUUUCCUGUGUAGCGGUGAAAUGCGUAGAUAU